GACAGAGGGUGCGAACGUUGCUCGGAAUCACUGGGCGUAAAGCGCGCGUAGGCGGACCGGAAAGUCGGUUGUGAAAUCCCUGGGCUCAACCCAGGAACUGCAUCCGAAACUCCCGGUCUCGAGUGACGGAGAGGAUAGUGGAAUUCCCGGUGUAGAGGUGAAAUUCGUAGAUAUCGGGAGGAACACCAGUGGCGAAGGCGGCUAUCUGGACGUCCACUGACGCUGAGGCGCGAAAGCGUGGGGAGCAAACAGG
rnacentral:rRNA from 1 species